rnacentral:rRNA from 1 species
GGUUAAGCGACUAAGCGUACACGGUGGAUGCCCUGGCAGUCAGAGGCGAUGAAGGGCGUGCUAAUCUGCGAUAAGCGCCGGUAAGGUGAUAUGAACCGUUAUAACCGGCGAUACCCGAAUGGGGAAACCCAGUGUGACUCGUCACACUAUCAUUAACUGAAUCCAUAGGUUAAUGAGGCGAACCGGGGGAACUGAAACAUCUAAGUACCCCGAGGAAAAGAAAUCAACCGAGAUUCCCCCAGUAGCGGCGAGCGAACGGGGAGGAGCCCAGAGCCUGAAUCAGCAUGUGUGUUAGUGGAAGCGUCUGGAAAGGCGCGCGAUACAGGGUGACAGCCCCGUACACAAAAGCGCAUGUGCUGUGAGCUCGAUGAGUAGGGCGGGACACGUGGUAUCCUGUCUGAAUAUGGGGGGACCAUCCUCCAAGGCUAAAUACUCCUGACUGACCGAUAGUGAACCAGUACCGUGAGGGAAAGGCGAAAAGAACCCCGGCGAGGGGAGUGAAAAAGAACCUGAAACCGUGUACGUACAAGCAGUGGGAGCACCCUUUGGGGUGUGACUGCGUACCUUUUGUAUAAUGGGUCAGCGACUUAUAUUCUGUAGCAAGGUUAACCGAAUAGGGGAGCCGGAGGGAAACCGAGUCUUAAUUGGGCGUUAAGUUGCAGGGUAUAGACCCGAAACCCGGUGAUCUAGCCAUGGGCAGGUUGAAGGUUGGGUAACACUAACUGGAGGACCGAACCGACUAAUGUUGAAAAAUUAGCGGAUGACCUGUGGCUGGGGGUGAAAGGCCAAUCAAACCGGGAGAUAGCUGGUUCUCCCCGAAAGCUAUUUAGGUAGCGCCUCGUGAAUUCAUCUCCGGGGGUAGAGCACUGUUUCGGCUAGGGGGCCAUCCCGGCUUACCAACCCGAUGCAAACUGCGAAUACCGGAGAAUGUUAUCACGGGAGACACACGGCGGGUGCUAACGUCCGUCGUGAAGAGGGAAACAACCCAGACCGCCAGCUAAGGUCCCAAAGUCAUGGUUAAGUGGGAAACGAUGUGGGAAGGCCCAGACAGCCAGGAUGUUGGCUUAGAAGCAGCCAUCAUUUAAAGAAAGCGUAAUAGCUCACUGGUCGAGUCGGCCUGCGCGGAAGAUGUAACGGGGCUAAACCAUGCACCGAAGCUGCGGCAGCGACACUGUGUGUUGUUGGGUAGGGGAGCGUUCUGUAAGCCUGUGAAGGUGGCCUGUGAGGGUUGCUGGAGGUAUCAGAAGUGCGAAUGCUGACAUAAGUAACGAUAAAGCGGGUGAAAAGCCCGCUCGCCGGAAGACCAAGGGUUCCUGUCCAACGUUAAUCGGGGCAGGGUGAGUCGACCCCUAAGGCGAGGCCGAAAGGCGUAGUCGAUGGGAAACGGGUUAAUAUUCCCGUACUUGGUGUUACUGCGAAGGGGGGACGGAGAAGGCUAUGUUGGCCGGGCGACGGUUGUCCCGGUUUAAGCGUGUAGGUGUGUGUUCCAGGUAAAUCCGGUUCACUUUAACACUGAGGCGUGAUGACGAGGCACUACGGUGCUGAAGCAACAAAUGCCCUGCUUCCAGGAAAAGCCUCUAAGCAUCAGGUAACAUCAAAUCGUACCCCAAACCGACACAGGUGGUCAGGUAGAGAAUACCAAGGCGCUUGAGAGAACUCGGGUGAAGGAACUAGGCAAAAUGGUGCCGUAACUUCGGGAGAAGGCACGCUGACACGUAGGUGAAGUGAUUUACUCACGGAGCUGAAGUCAGUCGAAGAUACCAGCUGGCUGCAACUGUUUAUUAAAAACACAGCACUGUGCAAACACGAAAGUGGACGUAUACGGUGUGACGCCUGCCCGGUGCCGGAAGGUUAAUUGAUGGGGUCAGCGCAAGCGAAGCUCCUGAUCGAAGCCCCGGUAAACGGCGGCCGUAACUAUAACGGUCCUAAGGUAGCGAAAUUCCUUGUCGGGUAAGUUCCGACCUGCACGAAUGGCGUAAUGAUGGCCAGGCUGUCUCCACCCGAGACUCAGUGAAAUUGAACUCGCUGUGAAGAUGCAGUGUACCCGCGGCAAGACGGAAAGACCCCGUGAACCUUUACUAUAGCUUGACACUGAACAUUGAGCCUUGAUGUGUAGGAUAGGUGGGAGGCUUUGAAGUGUGGACGCCAGUCUGCAUGGAGCCGACCUUGAAAUACCACCCUUUAAUGUUUGAUGUUCUAACGUGGACCCGUAAUCCGGGUUGCGGACAGUGUCUGGUGGGUAGUUUGACUGGGGCGGUCUCCUCCUAAAGAGUAACGGAGGAGCACGAAGGUUGGCUAAUCCUGGUCGGACAUCAGGAGGUUAGUGCAAUGGCAUAAGCCAGCUUGACUGCGAGCGUGACGGCGCGAGCAGGUGCGAAAGCAGGUCAUAGUGAUCCGGUGGUUCUGAAUGGAAGGGCCAUCGCUCAACGGAUAAAAGGUACUCCGGGGAUAACAGGCUGAUACCGCCCAAGAGUUCAUAUCGACGGCGGUGUUUGGCACCUCGAUGUCGGCUCAUCACAUCCUGGGGCUGAAGUAGGUCCCAAGGGUAUGGCUGUUCGCCAUUUAAAGUGGUACGCGAGCUGGGUUUAGAACGUCGUGAGACAGUUCGGUCCCUAUCUGCCGUGGGCGCUGGAGAACUGAGGGGGGCUGCUCCUAGUACGAGAGGACCGGAGUGGACGCAUCACUGGUGUUCGGGUUGUCAUGCCAAUGGCACUGCCCGGUAGCUAAAUGCGGAAGAGAUAAGUGCUGAAAGCAUCUAAGCACGAAACUUGCCCCGAGAUGAGUUCUCCCUGAGACUUAGAGUCUCCUGAAGGAACGUUGAAGACGACGACGUUGAUAGGCCGGGUGUGUAAGCGCAGCGAUGCGUUGAGCUAACCGGUACUAAUGAACCGUGAGGCUUAACCUU